AUACCUUCUCGGCCUUUUGGCUAUGAUCAAGUGUAGUAUCUGUUCUUAUCAGUGUGACAACUGAUAUGGGUCCAACUGGACCCAAAUAUGUCACAUCAAUUUUUGCUGGGGGAGGGAGUUGCUUAGAGCUUGCUCGGGCACCCUUCACGCGUUGCCUGGUCCUUACACAAUCUGCCUGAGCGGCGCCCCCUUC
rnacentral:snRNA from 1 species